rnacentral:miRNA from 1 species
ACAUUCAUGAAUAUAUAUAUGUGUAUAUAUAUGUGUGUGUGUGUGUGUGUAUAUAUAUACACACACACACAUAUAUA